CCUACGGGAGGCAGCAGUGGGGAAUAUUGGACAAUGGAGGAAACCCUGACGCAGCGACGCCGCGUGAGUGAAGAAGGAUUUCGGUAUGUAAAGCUCUAUCAGCAGGGAAGAAAAUGACGGUACCUGAGUAAGAAGCCCCGGCUAACUACGUGCCAGCAGCCGCGGUAAUACGUAGGGGGCAAGCGUUAUCCGGAUUUACUGGGUGUAAAGGGAGCGUAGACGGCAGUGCAAGUCUGGAGUGAAAGGCGGGGGCUCAACCCCCGGACUGCUCUGGAAACUGUACGGCUGGAGUGCAGGAGAGGUAAGUGGAAUUCCUAGUGUAGCGGUGAAAUGCGUAGAUAUUAGGAGGAACACCAGUGGCGAAGGCGGCUUACUGGACUGUAACUGACGUUGAGGCUCGAAAGUGUGGGUAGCAAACAGGAUUAGAUACCCGGGUAGUC
rnacentral:rRNA from 1 species